rnacentral:sRNA from 1 species
UGAUACCAGAGACAAAAAGUCCGGCAUCCACAUGAGUUUACUCAUAAGUGGAUGCAAGACUUUGGGGCUCGCCCCUAUAUGCGAAUAUCGGACAGAUUGAGGGAGUGCGAAGCACGGAGCAAAGUGAGGAAUA